UCAAGACACGGAACACACUGACAUGGCAAGGACUCAACCAGUUACUGCUCAUGCCUUAGAGACCUUGAUCCGUUUGGCCACAGCUCAUGCCAAGGCCAGACUUUCUCGACUGGUUACUGUGGAGGAUGCUGAAUCAGCCAUUGAGAUGGUUUCAUAUGCUUGCUUCAAAAAGGGAGUAUAGAUAAACACAGCGAAAGUAAACAACAGUUACUUAUUGUUUGUUCCCUUCUUGACCUAGCAGAACAGCAGAGAGGAUUAGCGUACCCUGUUGGCCGAUUAUGGAGAGUGAUUAUAGGCUUAUAAGAUCACCGAUUUUUGCAAACAACUUCUGUUAUGUCUAAAAGUGAAUAUACUCGCUGUAGGUGAAACACUUUCUGCUGUCCGUUGCCGAAUUUAUGAAAACAAUAAGUGACGACAGCUCGAUCCGCAUAACCCUACAUUUAGGCUGAAUAUACAGGAAUUUCACACCAUUUCUACUUGAAUAAGUUUAGCUUUGUUUUGUAUUAAAUGAUUAUAUGGAAUUUACUUGUAAAUUGUUUGGCAAUGCCCAAAAUAUAACUG